GGCCCAGCAAUGUAAUUUCACAGGGCGAUCAGUGUUUGCAUGUAAUAGCAGGCUGCGCUGAGGUGUCAGAAUAUUAAAGGCGCUAAUGGCAAAGCUCCCUGUUACACAGGGGGCCACCCGCCGCACCUACAGCAGGGCUAUGCGGCAGGCCCGUCGCAGAUGGCUGGCCACUAAGCUAAUGGGGCAGCAGCCAAGGCGGGCAGAGCCACGAGAGGG